UUAAUAAUUAUUUAUUAAUUUUUUUUUUAAAAAAAUUUUAAUAUUUAAAAUAAUAAUAAAAUUAAAAAGUUUAAGUAUUUUAUAAAUUUUAAUUAAGUAAUUUUUGAAAUUUAAUAUUUUAUGGGAUAAGCUAUAAAAUAAAUUUUUAUAAAUAAUAAAAUAGAUUUAAAAUUUAAUAUGUUUAAAAGUAUCAAUUUUUAUUAAGUUUGUUAUAAAUUAAUUUUUUUAAUAAAUUAUUUAUUAUAUUUUAAUUUUUUAUUAAAAUAUUUAUUUUAAUAUUAAAAAUAAAGUAAUAAUGAUAUAAUUAGUAUAUAAUUUUUGUAUAAAUAUAUUUUAAAUUGAAAAGUUUAUGUAAAGAAUUCGGCAAAAAUAAUGUUCGCCUGUUUAACAAAAACAUGUCUUUUAGAAAUUAAUUUAAAGUCUGACCUGCCCACUGAAUUUUUUUAAAUGGCCGCAGUAUAUUAACUGUGCAAAGGUAGCAUAAUCAUUAGUCUUUUAAUUGAAGGCUGGAAUGAAUGGUUGGACGAAAUAUUAACUGUUUCAUUUAAAUUUAUAAUAGAAUUUUAUUUUUUAGUCAAAAAGCUAAAAUAAAUUUAAAAGACGAGAAGACCCUAUGAAUCUUUAUAUAUGUUAUAUUUUAAUUUUGUAGAUUAUUUUAAUUAUAAUAUUAAUUAUAUAUUUUAUUGGGGUGAUAUUAAAAUUUAAAUAACUUUUAAAAUUUAAAUCAUUAAUUUAUGAAUAAAUGAUCCAUUUUUAAUGAUUAGAAAUUUAAGUUACUCUAGGGAUAACAGCGUAAUUUUUUUGGAGAGUUCAUAUCGAUAAAAAAGAUUGCGACCUCGAUGUUGGAUUAAGAAAUAAUUUUAGGUGUAGCCGUUUAAAUUUAAAGUCUGUUCGACUUUUAAAAUCUUACAUGAUCUGAGUUCAAACCGGCGUAAGCCAGGUUGGUUUCUAUCUUUAAUAAAUUAAUAUAUUUUAGUACGAAAGGAUUGAAUAUAUAAAUAAUUAUAUUUUUAUUUAUUUGAAUAUAAUUAAUAGAUAGUAAAA
rnacentral:rRNA from 1 species